CCCGGCUUUCCCUCAGAUGGGGUGCGGACACAAGCUGGCGAGCGCGCGGUGGGCGUGUCGUGCACGGCCCCGGCCGGCUGGUCUGACAGCAUGGUGAAUAACACUGACGCGAGGUGUUAAAUCAGCCUGUCUUCUCGAGAUAAAUGCCAGUUGGCCCUGAGAUGGCGCCGUCCUGAUUCCUCCUCCACCUGCAAAGGGCUCCACUCACACCUGCUCACCCCUGCACAGGUGCACGAGGUCCCGCACUGCCCUUGCUCAAGCAGCAGCUGCGGCUGGCCCUGCCUGGGGCCAGUGCUGGGCCCCCUGCCGGUCCACUGCCGCUCCACUGCCGCUCCCCCUUCUAUCCUGAGGAUCUCGGCCCAGGGAACAAUCAGAGACAGCUGCCACAGGCGUCAUGAUCCCCCACCUCCGCAAACCUCUGGUAGGGCAGAAGGGGUCCAGGCAUUCUGGAGAUUUUCCAUCGAAAGCCUUAAAACUUGUGCGUCUGAUUUAUUUCUUAACAUUAGGUCUCAAGCUUCAUCUUUUUUCCUACAAAUGAUUCGAGUUCACCCUUCUCUAUGGCAAAGUAGUACUCCUGUGUAUAAAUGCAU